rnacentral:rRNA from 1 species
CGUACACUCCUACGGGAGGCAGCAGUGGGGAAUAUUGGACAAUGGGCGCAAGCCUGAUCCAGCCAUGCCGCGUGAGUGAUGAAGGCCCUAGGGUUGUAAAGCUCUUUCACCGGUGAAGAUAAUGACGGUAACCGGAGAAGAAGCCCCGGCUAACUUCGUGCCAGCAGCCGCGGUAAUACGAAGGGGGCUAGCGUUGUUCGGAUUUACUGGGCGUAAAGCGCACGUAGGCGGACUAUUAAGUCAGGGGUGAAAUCCCGGGGCUCAACCCCGGAACUGCCUUUGAUACUGGUAGUCUUGAGUUCGAGAGAGGUGAGUGGAAUUCCGAGUGUAGAGGUGAAAUUCGUAGAUAUUCGGAGGAACACCAGUGGCGAAGGCGGCUCACUGGCUCGAUACUGACGCUGAGGUGCGAAAGCGUGGGGAGCAAACAGGAUUAGAAACCCUGGUAGUCCCAU